rnacentral:rRNA from 1 species
GGCGAGGGGAGUGAAAAAGAACCUGAAACCGUGUACGUACAAGCAGUGGGAGCACAGGUUUACCUGUGUGACUGCGUACCUUUUGUAUAAUGGGUCAGCGACUUAUAUUCUGUAGCAAGGUUAACCGAAUAGGGGAGCCGGAGGGAAACCGAGUCUUAAUUGGGCGUUAAGUUGCAGGGUAUAGACCCGAAACCCGGUGAUCUAGCCAUGGGCAGGUUGAAGGUUGGGUAACACUAACUGGAGGACCGAACCGACUAAUGUUGAAAAAUUAGCGGAUGACCUGUGGCUGGGGGUGAAAGGCCAAUCAAACCGGGAGAUAGCUGGUUCUCCCCGAAAGCUAUUUAGGUAGCGCCUCGUGAAUUCAUCUCCGGGGGUAGAGCACUGUUUCGGCUAGGGGGCCAUCCCGGCUUACCAACCCGAUGCAAACUGCGAAUACCGGAGAAUGUUAUCACGGGAGACACACGGCGGGUGCUAACGUCCGUCGUGAAGAGGGAAACAACCCAGACCGCCAGCUAAGGUCCCAAAGUCAUGGUUAAGUGGGAAACGAUGUGGGAAGGCCCAGACAGCCAGGAUGUUGGCUUAGAAGCAGCCAUCAUUUAAAGAAAGCGUAAUAGCUCACUGGUCGAGUCGGCCUGCGCGGAAGAUGUAACGGGGCUAAACCAUGCACCGAAGCUGCGGCAGCGACACUCAGGUGUUGUUGGGUAGGGGAGCGUUCUGUAAGCCUGUGAAGGUGUGUCGUGAGGGUUGCUGGAGGUAUCAGAAGUGCGAAUGCUGACAUAAGUAACGAUAAAGCGGGUGAAAAGCCCGCUCGCCGGAAGACCAAGGGUUCCUGUCCAACGUUAAUCGGGGCAGGGUGAGUCGACCCCUAAGGCGAGGCCGAAAGGCGUAGUCGAUGGGAAACGGGUUAAUAUUCCCGUACUUGGUGUUACUGCGAAGGGGGGACGGAGAAGGCUAUGUUGGCCGGGCGACGGUUGUCCCGGUUUAAGCGUGUAGGUGUGUGUUCCAGGUAAAUCCGGUUCACUUUAACACUGAGGCGUGAUGACGAGGCACUACGGUGCUGAAGCAACAAAUGCCCUGCUUCCAGGAAAAGCCUCUAAGCAUCAGGUAACAUCAAAUCGUACCCCAAACCGACACAGGUGGUCAGGUAGAGAAUACCAAGGCGCUUGAGAGAACUCGGGUGAAGGAACUAGGCAAAAUGGUGCCGUAACUUCGGGAGAAGGCACGCUGACACGUAGGUGAAGUGAUUUACUCAUGGAGCUGAAGUCAGUCGAAGAUACCAGCUGGCUGCAACUGUUUAUUAAAAACACAGCACUGUGCAAACACGAAAGUGGACGUAUACGGUGUGACGCCUGCCCGGUGCCGGAAGGUUAAUUGAUGGGGUCAGCGCAAGCGAAGCUCCUGAUCGAAGCCCCGGUAAACGGCGGCCGUAACUAUAACGGUCCUAAGGUAGCGAAAUUCCUUGUCGGGUAAGUUCCGACCUGCACGAAUGGCGUAAUGAUGGCCAGGCUGUCUCCACCCGAGACUCAGUGAAAUUGAACUCGCUGUGAAGAUGCAGUGUACCCGCGGCAAGACGGAAAGACCCCGUGAACCUUUACUAUAGCUUGACACUGAACAUUGAGCCUUGAUGUGUAGGAUAGGUGGGAGGCUUUGAAGCGUGGACGCCAGUCUGCGUGGAGCCGACCUUGAAAUACCACCCUUUAAUGUUUGAUGUUCUAACGUGGACCCGUAAUCCGGGUUGCGGACAGUGUCUGGUGGGUAGUUUGACUGGGGCGGUCUCCUCCUAAAGAGUAACGGAGGAGCACGAAGGUUGGCUAAUCCUGGUCGGACAUCAGGAGGUUAGUGCAAUGGCAUAAGC